rnacentral:rRNA from 1 species
AUUGAACGCUGGCGGCAGGCCUAACACAUGCAAGUCGAGCGAGUGGCGGACGGGUGAGUAAUGUCUGGGAAACUGCCUGAUGGCGGGGGAUAACUACUGGAAACGGUAGCUAAUACCGCAUACCAUCAGAUGUGCCCAGAUGGGAUUAGCUAGUAGGUGGGGUAAUGGCUCACCUAGGCGACGAUCCCUAGCCGGUCUGAGAGGAUGACCAGCCACACGGGAACUGAGACACGGUCCAGACUCCUACGGGAGGAAGCAGUGGGGAAUAUUGCACAAUGGGCGCAAGCCUGAUGCAGCCAUGCCGCGUGUGGGAAGAGGGCCUUCGGGUUGUAAAGCACUUUCAGCGGGGAGGCGUUACUCGCAGAAGAAGCACCGGCUAACUCCGUGCCAGCAGCCGCGGUAAUUC